rnacentral:lncRNA from 1 species
CUCGCGUUCUUCAUCUGUCGGGUCCGUGCUCAUGGCGAUAUCGGCGCCAAUACCAGGAAAUUAGGCGGCGCUGGACGACGACUAGUUAGUCUCGCCAACAAGGAGGAGGUUGCAGGCAAGCGACGUGCAACUGCCUCAUCGCUCUCCCCGCUUCCUCGCUGCUCUCCAAGGCUUGGAGCCCUUGGUCGCUCAGCCGACGAGCAGCAGGGGCCACCGCCACUCCGACCGGCAGCCGACGCCUAGCUCAACUAUUAUGAUCCCUCCUUCUUCUUGUUCAUCGAUUUCAAUUUAAAUGUACUGAUUGAUUCCUCAUUCUUUUGUAGAUUCAUCGAUGGACGGUGAUUUGGUGGAGGCUGCUACUUGUUAGAUUGGUGCAGACAAAGAGCUUUUGCUUCAAAUUUAUGUAGUUUGUCUGAACAUAUGAUGCCAUCCCUAUGAAGAACUUAUGUAUAGUUAGUUAUGAUGCUAGCCCUCUCAAGAAGUUUAUCUAGUUAGAUGAACAGAUGAUGCCAUCUUUGUUAGAUUCAUGGCUAUGUUUAAUUAGUUGUUGAAUAAGUUUUGUUUAAUUAGUCAUGACCAAGUUGCCAUAUGGCUUGUCUGCUGAGUUUUGUAUUCCUGAAGAAGAUGCAAAAAUGCUUAAUUUAUUUGGUAUAUGAUUCAAGGCUGGAGCGUGAUCAUUUGAUCUUGUUCUUGUAUGAAUAUAGGCUUAAAGUGUUCAUAUGUUGUCGCUGAAUUUUCAAUGGCAACAUUGUACCGGCGCUGACAGAAAAGAUGGCUAAAUUUUUUAAUGACAACAUUGUGUUCA